AAAAACUUAAUUUUAAUUUUUAAUUUAAUUUAAUUUUUUACUUAUAUAUAAAAUAUUUAAUUUAAAUAAAUACCCAUAAUUAAUAUAUAAAAUUAGAUUAUUAAAUAAAUUUAUAUCUAAAAAAAAAAUCAAUAUUAAUAAAAAAUUGUGCCAGCAAUUGCGGUUAAACAUUUAAUAUUAAUUAAAUAAUUCAAAUAAAAUAAAAUAUAAAUAAAUAAUUAAAUUUAACUUUAAUUUUAUAAUAAAAUAUAAAUAAAUUAAAAACUUAAUUAAUCAAUAAUUUAAUUAAAAAAUUUUUUAAUAAACUAGGAUUAGAUACCCUAUUAUUAAAACAAAAUAUUAUAUUAAAAAAUUAAAUGAUAAAUCACUAAAUUUAAAAAAUUUGACUGUAUAUUAUUUUUAUUAGAGGAAUAUAUUUAUUAAUAGAUAAUAAACUAAAAAAAUCACUUAAAUUAUGUUUAUAUAUUGUUGUUUAAAAAUUUAAUUUUAAAAUAAGUAAUUAAGAUAUUAAUAUAAAUAAUAAUUCAAAUCAUAAUAUAACUAAUAUUUAAGAAUAAAAGUAUUACAUUUUAUAAAAAAUUAUUUAUAAAAUUUUUAAUUUUAUAAAAAAAAGAAUUUAAUAUUAAAAUUAAUUUAAUUAACUAAAUUAAAAAUAAAAUUAAUAUAGGUACAUAUCGCCCGUCAUUCUCAUAAUUUGAGACAAGUCGUAACAAAGUAAAAUUACUGGAAAGUAAUUUUAGAAU
rnacentral:rRNA from 1 species